CUCCAUCUCUGAUUGCCAAUAUUCCCAUAGCCACGAGCAGUGUACAGGUGUAUCUGAAGUGGGAACCACAUUGCAACAAGUAUCCAGCUCUGAAUCUAACAGAGAUGGAGAUGUUGUGGUCAGCUGCUCUGCCACGGGAAGACCAGCACCUAGCAUCCAAUGGGAUUAUUCGACUCCAGGAUCCAUACAGACUCUCAGCAACUGGAAUGUCACUAACAGUGACCAAACGGUUACCGUUGUGAGCAACAUAACCCUCCGACUGUCCCCAGGGUUGGGAGGACACGUGGACUGUCUAGUUAACAACGGGACAAGGACCCAGACACGACAGCAGGUCCUGCUUCCUCUUCACCUUGGGAAGAAUAAGGAUGAACCAGAUGACACAUCUCCACUGGGGGUUGCCAUUCCAGUUUUGCUCAUCAUUUCCUUUUUCGGAGUCUUCGUCUAUUUCAUGCAUAAGAAGAAAAAAGUUUUCAGGGAAGCCGUGUUGGCCACUCCAGCUGAAGAACAGCACCCCUUUGGCUGCAACGUGUAAAUGUGUCUGUGCUUGAUUACAGUGUUUGUAUUUGAUGUAGCUGACAGAAAUUUAAGUAAGCAUUGUUGUGAAGAUGGGAAGCUUCUUCAAAAGAAAAUCCAGUCAUAAAUAAGCUAGUAAAGGGAGAAUUUAACCUUCUUUCAACUUGAUGUUAGUUGGCGUCUGAAAAUAGCAGAAACAGAAAUCCACGGUUCAGGUCUUUAUUAAUGGGCUGGAUUUAAACCCCUACUGCAACAUAAUGUUUGCAUAUUCAAUCAUGGAUUCCCCUGUUGUCUUGGCCUACUGUACAUACCUCUAUCUGGGAGAGACUCAGGAGCUACAGUAUAGUGAAAGGACAUACAUGUAUUAUAUGUAAGGAAAGCCUUAAGGACUACUUUUUACAUUUAUCAUAUUGUAUACUGUACAGUACAUGAAAGACCACUGGGGGAUACCACUGAAUUGUCUGUCCCAAUUCAUUUAUACUUCUAUUUAUUUCACUUCAAUCCAUUUCAGUAUGAAACAAUAUGUUGCACUUUACUUUAUGUAAGAUUUAUUGUUAUAAAUCUGUGAAAGGAGAAAACAUGAAAAAAAAAAUCCCAUGUCAUUUGAACGCA
ensembl:lncRNA